GAGUCUAUCAUGUGCACAAGUCAAUGGGCUUACUAAACCCAAAGGCGAAACGAAAGCAAAAGUUGUCAAAUGUAUGUCCUCCUUCCUCACUAAGUAUGGGAGAUUGAGUUGCCAUUGAGAUACUGAUGAUAGCAAUUGAGAGCCGAUCCUGUACUUGUUAUGGGCGCAGGCUCAGGACUUGCCUGUAUUGACAAGCGAGUCCCAGGAGUGCACCUGGUAGUACCCGAAAGAUAGUGACCUAUGCUUGGCCGGGAUGAAGCCAGAGGAAACUCUGGUGGAGGUCCCUAUAGGUUCUGACGUGCAAAUCGAUCUUAUGAGCUGAGUAUAGGGGCGAAAGACUAAUCGAACUAUCUAGUAGCUGGUUCCCUCUGAAGUUUCCCUAAGGAUAGCUGGUGCUCGUUAAAGAUUUUCAAUCAGUAAAGAGAAUUAUUAGAUGUGUUUGGGACGAAGCAGUCCUGAACCUUUUAUAAAACUUCAAAUGGGUGAUAAAUCUAGCUUUUAUUAAAGCCUGACAAUGAAUCUGAGUGCCUAGUGGGCCAAUUUUGGUAAGCAGAACUGGCGCUGUGGGAUGAACCAAACGUUGAGUUAAGGGGCCUAAAUGAACGCAUUACCAUGAAGAGUGUUGGUUGCUAAAGACAGCAGGACGGUGGCCAUGGAAGUUGGAAUCCGCUUAGGAGUGUGUGU
rnacentral:rRNA from 1 species